UACGUAGGGGGCAAGCGUUGUCCGGAAUCAUUGGGCGUAAAGAGCGUGUAGGCGGCCUUACAGGUCAGCUGUGAAAACUCGAGGCUCAACCUCGAGACGUCGGUUGAAACCGUAUGGCUAGAGUCCGGAAGAGGAGAGUGGAAUUCCCGGUGUAGCGGUGAAAUGCGCAGAUAUCGGGAAGAACACCCGUGGCGAAGGCGGCUCUCUGGGACGGUACUGACGCUGAGACGCGAAAGCGUGGGGAGCGAAUGGG
rnacentral:rRNA from 1 species